rnacentral:lncRNA from 1 species
AUACCAAAUCUAAAUUGAAAUUGAUUUGAAAUCCAAAUCUGAGUCUACAAAUGAAUUGAAAUCCAAAUCUGAGUCUACAAAUCUCUACCGCUGCUCGCUCCAAGUCACCUGAAUUGAAAUCGAAACUUAAAUUCAUAUCCAUCGAAUCGAAAUUGAUUUAUGAGAGAGGCUAGACCUAGGGCUUACCAGGUUCGAGACGAAUCUAAAGAGAGGCUAGAGCUACCCCAAGUCAAAUUAAAACUUUAUCAGCUAAUCAAUACUGCAUACGCCUUUUUCAGCCAUGAUUCUUUUACUUUAAAACCAUUUAUGCAAAAGAAUGACUAGGGCAUCAGGUAUAUACGGUUACGGGAACAGCCCAAACACUGAACUAACUAUCAGGUGAGCCUGUUCAUGAAUUCAUAUUUGUUUGGGUGUGUGUUUCAGUUUGAAAUAAAUAUGUGCACAUAUAUGUAUAUACACACAUAGAGAAAUAUAAGAGAGAGGGAGAGAAAGAGAGAGAGAGAGUGUGUGUCUGUUCAGUAAAUGUAAGAAGAUAUCUUGAACAAUGUUUGAAAUGAAUCUUAUAUCUAUGAGUAUCCACUAUCAAACCUUAUGAGUUUAACAAAGCAACAUUAGGAACAUAUUUUCAUAUUGUGUUCUGAAAGGAAUCAACCAAUUAAAAGAAUCUAUAAAUUACCCUCAAGAACCUAUUUGUGUAUGACAUCAAGUUCCACUGCUAUUGGGUUAUUAAAAUCCUGGUAUAGCACCAAGUUCGAAACUUUUAUAGCACCAACCUAAUCUAUUUUCUUCUCCUGUACAGUUAUACCUAUAGAAUCUUGGAAACCAGGUCCUACAACCCUCAUUUCACUUUAAACCCUCAAUUCACCAACCCAAGAUUGUCCACAGGAGUGAGCCACUUCAUAUCCAUAAAGUAAAAUUUAUCCAAACCUAGUAGAUUUCAAUUGACUUUGUCUAUAAUGAUAACUUGCUCACCAUAUAAGAAAAUGAUACACA